UUUCGACCAUAGAUCUGGCGAGCGGAUACCACCAGAUACUCCUGGUCUACCUAGAUGACAUCUUGGUUUUUUCAGAGACAUUUGAGCAGCAUUUGGAGAGACUUGAGACUGUGUUUAAGAGACUGGCAGAGACGGGCCUUAAGGCCAACUGAUGUCACACCUGUGUGUCACCACUGUGUGGGUGGCUGCCUCUCAAUGCAGUCUGUCAGCCUGCUCUGUCUCCUCACCGGGGUUUAAUUAGUGUCCCCUUAUGCAUCUGAGGACCAGCAGCUCUGCA